AUUGAACGCUGGCGGCAGGCUUAACACAUGCAAGUCGAGCGGGGGAAGGUAGCUUGCUACCGGACCUAGCGGCGGACGGGUGAGUAAUGCUUAGGAAUCUGCCUAUUAGUGGGGGACAACAUCUCGAAAGGGAUGCUAAUACCGCAUACGUCCUACGGGAGAAAGCAGGGGAUCUUCGGACCUUGCGCUAAUAGAUGAGCCUAAGUCGGAUUAGCUAGUUGGUGGGUAAAGGCCUACCAAGGCGACGAUCUGUAGCGGGUCUGAGAGGAUGAUCCGCCACACUGGGACUGAGACACGGCCCAGACUCCUACGGGAGGCAGCAGUGGGGAAUAUUGGACAAUGGGGGGAACCCCGAUCCAGCCAUGCCGCGUGUGUGAAGAAGGCCUUAUGGUUGUAAAGCACUUUAAGCGAGGAGGAGGCUACUCUAGUUAAUACCUAGGGAUAGUGGACGUUACUCGCAGAAUAAGCACCGGCUAACUCUGUGCCAGCAGCCGCCGUAA
rnacentral:rRNA from 1 species